UGGGGAAUUUUGGACAAUGGGCGCAAGCCUGAUCCAGCAAUGCCGCGUGCAGGAUGAAGGCCUUCGGGUUGUAAACUGCUUUUGUACGGAGCGAAAAGGUCUGCCCUAAUACGGUGGGCUCAUGACGGUACCGUAAGAAUAGCACCGGCUAACUACGUGCCAGCAGCCGCGGUAAUACGUAGGGUGCGAGCGUUAAUCGGAAUUACUGGGCGUAAAGCGUGCGCAGGCGGUUAUAUAAGACAGACGUGAAAUCCCCGGGCUCAACCUGGGACCUGCAUUUGUGACUGCAUCGCUGGAGUGCGGCAGAGGGGGAUGGAAUUCCGCGUGUAGCAGUGAAAUGCGUAGAUAUGCGGAGGAACACCGAUGGCGAAGGCAAUCCCCUGGGCCUGCACUGACGCUCAUGCACGAAAGCGUGGGGAGCAAACA
rnacentral:rRNA from 1 species